UACGUAGGGGGCAAGCGUUGUCCGGAUUCAUUGGGCGUAAAGAGCGUGUAGGCGGCCAGGUAGGUCGGUUGUGAAAACUGGAGGCUCAACCUUCAGAGGUCGACCGAAACCAUCUGGCUAGAGUCCGGGAGAGGAGAGUGGAAUUCCUGGUGUAGCGGUGAAAUGCGCAGAUAUCAGGAAGAACACCCGUGGCGAAAGCGGCUCUCUGGAACGGUACUGACGCUGAGACGCGAAAGCGUGGGGAUCGAACAGG
rnacentral:rRNA from 1 species